rnacentral:lncRNA from 1 species
UUUUCAAAAUUGCAAACAGGUCCUUCAAAUCAAAAUUACAGGGCAGCGCCCCCUUUUUCAGUCCAAUGCCACAUGUCAGCUUUCUAAUGGUCCAAUCACUCACACAUGUCAGCUAUAAAAACAACACAGUGUCAGAUUUUCAGGAUCAGAUACACAAUCAUUGAAAUCAUCACAAACAGAUUUUUUUUCUCUCUCCAUUCAGUUACAGAUCAAAACAGAAAGUUCUCCA